rnacentral:rRNA from 1 species
UACGUAGGCAGCGAGCGUUGUUCGGAAUUACUGGGCGUAAAGAGUGUGUAGGCGGUGCUCUAAGUUCGGUGUGAAAUCUCCUGGCUCAACUGGGAGGGUGCGCCGGAAACUGGAGUGCUUGAGCGUGGGAGAGGAAAGCGGAAUUCCUGGUGUAGCGGUGAAAUGCGCAGAUAUCAGGAGGAACACCAAUUGCGAAGGCAGCUCGCUGGGACGUUACUGACGCUGAGCACGACGAAGCGUGGGGAGCAAACAGG